GUCCCCGUAGCUCAAUGGAUAGAGCGCUGGCCUCCGGAGCCAGAGGUUGCGCGUUCGAGUCGCGCCGGGGAUA
rnacentral:tRNA from 1 species